rnacentral:rRNA from 1 species
GGCCGCGGGGAUGCGAUUCAGGCCUAACACAUGCAAGUCGAACGGCAGCACGGGUGCUUGCACCUGGUGGCGAGUGGCGAACGGGUGAGUAAUACAUCGGAACGUACCUUAUCGUGGGGGAUAACGCAGCGAAAGCUGUGCUAAUACCGCAUACGCCCUGAGGGGGAAAGCGGGGGAUCGCAAGACCUCGCGCGAUUAGAGCGGCCGAUGCCUGAUUAGCUAGUUGGUGGGGUAAAAGCCCACCAAGGCGACGAUCAGUAGCUGGUCUGAGAGGACGAUCAGCCACACUGGGACUGAGACACGGCCCAGACUCCUACGGGAGGCAGCAGUGGGGAAUUUUGGACAAUGGGGGCAACCCUGAUCCAGAAAGGCCGCGUGAGUGAAGAAGGCCUUCGGGUG